CAUGGAGCUGAAUAACCUUUGCUGAACCAUAAAACUGAUAGGCAAAUCUAAAGGAACAAGUGCAAUUUAUUCUAACUUGUUUUUUUAAAAAAACGUUACAUGUAAGUAUACAAGUUAUGUAUCAGUAAGCUUCGCAUGGUCAAGAAGAACACAAUCAACUCCAGUGUGAGACACAGCCUGAGUUGCCUGGAAGAGAGCAGGCAUACUCUGGAUUUGCGGAGUAAUCCGUACUCAACAUCAGGAGGAAAAACUUGACUGCUGACAACACAGCACGAAUAUUUGAAAGCUCCCUGUCUAAUCUCACACAACAACUUUUGGAAGCCCAAAGAGUAGAAAGCUGAGUCAGAAGUAACGCUCCCUUUACCAGAGUGAACUAAAAAGGUGAUUCUGAUCAGCAGUUCCA